GGGGGUGUAGCUCAGUUGGGAGAGCGUACGGUUCGCAUCCGUAAGGUCAGGGGUUCGAAUCCCCUCAUCUCCACCA
rnacentral:tRNA from 1 species